rnacentral:rRNA from 1 species
UGGGUAACCUGCCUCAAAGAGGGGAAUAGCCUCCCCGAAAAGGGAGAUUAAUACCGCAUAAUAUGUUUAAGUCGCAUGACUUUAACAUCAAAGGAUUUUCUUUUAGAACUUCCACUUUGAGAUGGACCCGCGGCGCAUUAGCUAAUUGGUGAGGUAACGGCUCACCAAGGCAACGAUGCGUAGCCGACCUGAGAGGGUGAUCGGCCACAUUGGAACUGAGACACGGUCCAGCUCCGUAGGAGG